CGGCUGAGCCCAGCAAACCUCCCAGCAGUGCCCUGGGAUGAGCUCCGGGAGAUUUUCCCUGUGCCAUGGGCUUGACACGAGCUGAAAACUAAUCAGACCUGUAAUGCACAUUGGAAUCCAUCUCUUUUACUGCUGGAAACCUCAGAGAGAUGUCUUUCAUCAAACCGUGGAUCAACAAUACUAAUAGAGCCCUUUUUUCCUCUCUCCUGCUUCACACUUUUUCUGCAAAGAACACCUGAGACUGUGUGUUCUUCACCUCAGCCUGACACGAGGGGGGUUUCCCCUCUGUUCAAACCAGAAGGACCCGUUUGCUCCCUGAAGGAUCCCCCCACUUGCCCACAGGCACGGUGUCCACCCAUUUGCUGAGGGAGAUUUCCCCAAUGGAAAACCCACAGAGAUUACCCCAAGGAAAACUGUGGAGAACUGCAGCCAAUUAAGUCCUUAAAUCACUUUGUGAUUGACUAGAAUAGUGUUAGAUCUAAACUUACUUUAAUAAUAAAUUAAAAAAAAUCCAGAUAAUAA